ensembl:snoRNA
GUUGGUUGAAAAACACCCUCGGCUUUGGCCGUGGCCACGGGUGAGAUUCGGCGCCCAGAGCCUCACUGCGCGCUGCUCCACGUGCCGCGGGGAAACCCAGGCCCAGACAGGC